rnacentral:lncRNA from 1 species
GUAAAGAGGCACUUUGCUGGCCAAGAACCCCAUGUGGGGCUGUGACAGGCAGAAGGAUGGCUCCUUGAAGAUACUCAUGUCCUAAUUCCCAGAACAUGUGAAUAUGCUACUUCAACAGCAAAAGGGACGUUGCAGAUGUAAAUUACGGACCUCGAGACCGGGAGAUUAUUCUGGAUUGUCUGGUGGACCCACUGUAAUCACAAGGUUCAUAUAAGGGAAAUAGGGAAGCAGGAGAGUCGGAGAAGGAGAUGGGAUGAUGGAGGCAGAGGUUGGAGUGAUGCAAUUGCUAGCUUUGAAGGUAGAGGAAGAGACCUUAAGCCAAGGAAUGUGGGUGGCUUCUAGAAGCUAAAAAAAGGCAAACAAACAAACAAACAACAACCCUGCAACAGAUUCUUCCCUAGACCCUCCAGAAGGAACACUGCCUUGCUAACACCUUGAUUUUAGCCCAGUAAAAUUCAUUUUGAACUUCUAACCUGCAGAACCA